rnacentral:lncRNA from 1 species
GUUUGCUUCUGAAAACUUUAAGAAACAGAACAUGACAUGAAAUACAUUAUUGAAAAAUGCAAAUGACUGAUAUAUUUAUAAAAAGAUGAUGAACAUCAGUAAUAAGUAUGAAAUAUAAACCUAAACCACAGUGAAAUUCCAUUUUAAAAAUUGUGCUUAUCAGAGUGGCAAAAAAUUUUUAAAGUUAGGGAAAAUACCAGAUAUUGAUGAGGAUGUGGGAAAACUGUAAUUUGGCUUAUUGCUGAAAGGACUGUAGAUUGUUACAGUCUUGUAGAUAGAUUAGUAUAAACUUUAAAAAAUAUUUUGGUUAUUUCUAUUAAUAUAAAAUAUAAACAGCCUAAAGAACCAGGAUCUCACUGCUAAGAAUUGAUCUCAUAGAUACAAUAUAUUGAAUAUUUAAAGACAUUCCCUCUUUCUUUAAACAAAUGUUUUUGAUUGCUGACUAAAUGUCAGGCAUAUUCUAUGCACAUGAGGAAACAUCAGUGAACAAAACAAAAAUCCUGACCAGGUGUGGUGGCUCGCACCUGUACUCUAGCACUUUGGGAGGCCGAGGUGGGUGGGUCACCCCAGGUCAGGAGUUUGAGACCAGCCUGAUCGGAAGAGCCCAGAGAGUUCUGUGCAGAUCCUGCUCUAGAUGCUGGUGGGUAGUCUUACUUUUGUAAGCUGAUCCUCUCAUUCCCCUAACAAAUAAAGAGUUGUAUAUAGGUAGUGACUCUGAUAGGCUUCUGGCUGACAGCUGCUACCAGAGCCAUCCCUCUGCUGAGAAGCAGCUUUUUCAUAUCAACAAGGUUGGAACGCUAAUAGAAGAAUCCUGAUUGGUACAUGGAGAUUAGACUUGCAAAUCCUUAGUCAGGUGUCAACAGACAGCCAAAAAACAUACUGGUUGAAAAUUUCAUUAUCUUCCGGAGUGAAAGAAACCACUGGGCUUGUAGUGUGGGACUUAUAGGGAUAAAAAGACAAGGCAAGAUUGUGAAGGUGGAACAUUAUUCUGAAAGGGGCAAGGAUGGUGAGUCUGGGAAUGUGGCGGCCACAUACCUCCUCAUACUGCAAGGAAGGCUCUGAGUAUGGAAAAGAAGGACAUCAUCGCUCUGAGACCCUGAUUUCUAACAAAGUAUCCGAAUCCAGUUUCGUGGAGAUUGGAUACUUUGUUAGAUUGGAUACCUGUUGGGAUUCCUUUUUAUUACUUUUACCUUUUUAAGAGUCUUUGAAGUAAAUUCAAAGGAACUCAGGUGCAAAGGCAGUAAAUGUCCUCUAAUUGAUUCAGUUUAGCCCUCAUUCAUCCACCAGGAAUUUUGAAUAAAAUGUAAAUUUUUUUUCAUUGUUAUUUUUCAUAUCAAAUGAAUUCUCUAUACUUUUCUCUGUAGUAUAUUGGAAAACUAUUCAUUGGUUCAACUUUCAUUCAGGGCUUACUCUCAGUUUCUGCAUGCAACACUCUCUGGGAUCACAAAUAUGAAUAAGAAAUGUAUCGUUGCCCUCAGAACAUGGCUGGCUUCAUGGGAAUGCAGUGUGUGCAGUCACACAGAGCUCCUUGCUUAGGGGGUCUGAUGCUUGGCUUAAUGCUCAGAUGUUGCCGUGCUGAAAUUCUUAAAAGAUUUUUGACAAGGGGCCCUAUAUUUUCAUCUUCACCGGGUUUGCAGAUUAUACAGCUGGUCCUGCCUCAGAAACCUGUGUAAGAAAAACACAUUUCCAUGAAAAAUACAAUAAUAUCUCAUGCAGUGUAUUUUUUUUUUAAGUACGAAAAGAAAAUGGAACAAGUAUAUGGCAAGUGACAUGCUAUGAAUCCCAGAGGAAGAUGGAUCUAUCUGUGCUUGUGGGAGGUCAAAUGUUUUAAUUUAGGAUGUGUUAUUUUAGUGAGAAUUUUACUGAUUAGGUUAGUCUAGCAAAGCCUGUAACACAAAAAGAGAUUAUUAUUUGCUGACUAACUUGACUUCUAAUUUGUCACAAAUGCUUCUUACUUUCCAUUGUCUGUCCCACAGAGUAAGCCUUUUGUAUUAGGUGGGAGAGGGGGGAUAUGGUGCAAAGAAUUGUGUGCAUGUUUGUAAAUGUGCACACAAGAAUUUCAGCUGGGGACAUGCAGACAUUUGUUCAUUAAUUGUUUUGCUUUGAAUUGUCAGUGGAUUGAGUUGGUAAUAAAGUAAGCAUAUUUUAGUCAUCUCAGGUGACGGGAUUAUUGAUGGGGAAGUGCUAGUGUUAAAAAAAGGUUGAGAUUUGGUGCUAAGAGAGAUCCAUACCUGGAGAUAGAACUUUAGGAUAGGUAAGGGUGAAGAUAACAAGAAACUGAAAAUAAAAUUCCUGUCUAUGCAGUAAUACCGUAAUCCAUGUUUUCUAUUCUAGUAAGUUUCUUCCGUAAGUUAACAAUAGUCCUUUGUGUUUUCAUCAAGUGUGUGGAUUUUUUAAAGGAAAUGAUUAAAAUGUCAAAGUUGAGCACUGGAAUACCAAAAAUUUCCAUCCUCUUCUAAUCUUUUUUUUGAAGAUACAGGCAUACAGAUUGUCUUUAAAGACUUUUUUAGUGUAUUAUAUGGGAAAAAAUUUUUAGCAUAGGAGUUUCCUUUUCAUUUUGCCCAACAUCAUCCAAUGAUCCCUUUUUAAAAGCUCAGUCCCCUUGCUCUUUAUUCCUUCCCAUAAAAAGAAAAAAAAAGAAAGAAAAGAAAAGGAAAGAAGAAAAAAAAGCGGCCAACUUAUAAAGGAAAAGCAACAUUGCCUUUUAUUUUGUUUUCAACUAUUUUAAGAAGGUUGAAUUUUCACCUGACCUGUUAUCUACACAUCUAGAAUUACAUUUGAUAAAGGAAGGAUAGAUUGGCUAACUGUGAAGGAAAGGCAGAGGGCUUCCUUGAUAAUAAUUUAAUAUAAUAAAAAUGGUGAAGGGGAUAUUUCAAACCUAGAGACUUAGAAGAAAAGAGAUGAAGUCAGACACAUAGAACUAUUCAGCUUGCGUAACGCACAUUGGGCUAUUCACUUUAGGCAUCAUCAAAUGCUAAAACAAUAUUUGCAGGUCCAAGUUAAGUGAGAUGUUUUGCAGAGAUAAAAAGUUUUGAGGGAAGAAAUAUGUUGAAAAAAAGUUCCUAAAAAUUUAACAUGGAUAAAUCCUACAGAACAUUGUUAUCUAACACCGGAGCAUGUCUGCAUGGGUAAAUUCUUGGAAACUAAAGCAACAUGAAUAACUCUUACAGUUUUUCAUAUCAGAAAGAUGAUGAAAGCAUGUGUUUAUUUGAAUAGGCCAGGAGCAUCUGUCUCAGUUUCAUAGAUAAGCAUGUGCAUGUUUGCGGUUUUUUUAGAACCAUAGAGAAGUGUGUGCAUGUUUGUGGUUUGUUUAGAACCAAGGUGCCCAGAGGGUGGAGCACACAGUUGUGGCUCAGCUAACUUUAUCAUUAUCACCAUCGCCGUGAUGGACAACCAGGACAUUCUGGGACGCUGAGCCCCACAAGUGAGAUCCCAAUUAUUAGCUGCCUGAAUGUUUACAGUUUUUUCAGAUGGCUGAGGUCACCCUGUCCAGCCCCAAUGCCAAUUAGGAAAUGAACAUUCUUUACCACAUUCCUUAUCUCCAAAAUCUCCAAGGAUUGAUGGGGUGGUUGUUUCUUCUCAUUACUCCCUGUCUCUGCUCUGAAUCUCAGCUUAUGUGACUGCCGUUCUCUCCCUUCUCCACACCACUUGGCUUCCUUCUGGACACCCACUGCCUUGAUUGUUUCAACUCCCCAAAGUGUUAAUGACACAAGGCUGGGUAUGCAGCAGACUUUUACUUUGAGGAUAUGGAUUGAAUGUUUAUAUCUCCCCCAAACUUAUAUACUGAAAACUCUAAUUUCCAGUUUGAUGGAUUUUGGAAGUGAGGCCUUUGGGAGGUAAUAGGUUAUGAAGAUAAUAGGUCAUGAGCCCUCAUGCUGGGAUUAGUAGUGCCCUUAUAAGAACAGCAAGCCACCAUGGCAUGUGUACACCUAUGCAACAAUCCUGCAGGAUCUGCACAUGUACCCCAGAAUUUAAAGGACAAUAAAAAUAUUAAAUACAUAAAAAUAAAAAUAUUUUUAAAAUAAUAAAAUAAAAAAAAGAGAAAAGACAAGAGAGAGUUCACUUCUCUGCUUGUAAGCACCAAGGAAAAAGAAAAAGAGCAUGUGAGGACAUGACCAGGAUGAAGGCCUUCAUCAAAAUCCCAACCAUCUGGCACCCAAAUUUGUACUUUCCGCCUCUAGAACCAUGAGAAAUAAGUUGUUGUUUGAGUAAUCAAAUUAUUUGAGCCACUAUGGUAAUUUGUUACAGCAGCCCAAACUGGAAUAGUAAGGAGUGAUUACAGGGUGUCACUGAAGAGACAAAAUGUAAAAUAGAAUGUGAAUCAUCAUGCUCUAACAUUCAUUAACAAUUUUCUAGCCGCCAACAUUUUUUGCCAUCUAUAUGCCCUCCUUAAGUUGUGCCUGGCCUUCAUCUUCUUGUUUCUGGUCCCAAUCUACCUGCUAGACUCCAGCCCCAAUAUUAUCAUUAGUUUUUUAUGCAAUGUAAUUUUGCUUUCUGCAUCCUACUCUUAAUUAGGCAUAUUGUUGAGUGUGUUUUAAGAUAAAAUACUUUCUAACGUGGGUGAUAGCCAUUUUACAGCACACAGUAUUUAAGAAUAUUUGUUCACCUAAAACAAAAAUACAUGCCAAAAAACUAGCAGAAGUUCCAAAAUUUCAUUUUUUUCUCUUAAUAUGAUCAAAACCUUAGAUAAGAUUC